AACUAACGCUGGCGGCGUGCCUAACACAUGCAAGUCGUACGAGAAAGUUGGCUUCGGCCGAUGAGUACAGUGGCGCACGGGUGAGUAACGCGUGGAUAAUCUGCCCUUAAGUGUGGAAUAACGUACCGAAAGGUGCGCUAAUACCGCAUAAUGCCUGGCAACAUAAGUUGUCCGGCCAAAGAAGGCCUCUGCUUGCAAGCUUUCGCUAAAGGAUGAGUCCGCGUACCAUUAGCUAGUUGGUGGGGUAACGGCCUACCAAGGCGACGAUGGUUAGCUGGUCUGAGAGGAUGAUCAGCCACACUGGAACUGAGACACGGUCCAGACUCCUACGGGAGCAGCAGUGAGGAUAUUGCGCAAUGGGGGCAACCCUGACGCAGCAACGCCGCGUGAGUGAGGAAGGUUUUCGGACUGUAAAGCUCUGUCGAGCGGGAAGAAGUGUACCAUGGCUAAUAUCCAUGAUAUUUGACGGUACCGCUAGAGG
rnacentral:rRNA from 1 species